rnacentral:rRNA from 1 species
GAAGAAAGAGGGAGGCGGGAAGAAUAAAGGAAAGUAGAACGCUUUUUUACUCCCGAGUGCUUGAAUUUAAUUGGAAAGAGGAGUGGCGGACGGGUGAGUAAAAAGUGGGUAACCUACCCAUCAGAGGGGGAUAACACCUGGAAACAGGUGCUAAUACCGCAUAACAGUUUAUGCCGCAUGGCAUAAGAGUGAAAGGCGCUUUCGGGUGUCGCUGAUGGAUGGACCCGCGGUGCAUUAGCUAGUUGGUGAGGGAACGGCUCACCAAGGCCACGAUGCAUAGCCGACCUGAGAGGGUGAUCGGCCACACUGGGACUGAGACACGGCCCAGACUCCUACGGGAGGCAGCAGUAGGGAAUCUUCGGCAAUGGACGAAAGUCUGACCGAGCAACGCCGCGUGAGUGAAGAAGGUUUUCGGAUCGUAAAACUCUGUUGUUAGAGAAGAACAAGGACGUUAGUAACUGAACGUCCCCUGACGGUAUCUAACCAGAAAGCCACGGCUAACUACGUA